AGAGACAGCAGUAGCCGCGGGAAUACAGAGGGUGCAAGCGUUAAUCGGAAUUACUGGGCGUAAAGCGCGCGUAGGUGGUUCGCCAAGUUGGAUGUGAAAUCCCCGGGCUCAACCUGGGAACUGCAUCCAAAACUGGCGAGCUAGAGUAUGGUAGAGGGUGGUGGAAUUUCCUGUGUAGCGGUGAAAUGCGUAGAUAUAGGAAGGAACAUCAGUGGCGAAGGCGACCACCUGGACUGAUACUGACACUGAGGUGCGAAAGCGUGGGGAGCAAACAGGAUUAGAGACCCCCGUAGUCCCUGUCUCUUAUAC
rnacentral:rRNA from 1 species